GACGAACGCUGGCGGCAUGCCUAACACAUGCAAGUCGAGGGAGCAGAUCCCUUCGGGGUGAAGCUAGCGGCGGACGGGUGAGUAACACGUGGGCAACCUGCCUCAUAGAGGGGAAUAGCCUUCCGAAAGGAAGAUUAAUACCGCAUAAGAUUGUGGCUUCGCAUGAAGCAGCAAUUAAAGGAGCAAUCCGCUAUGAGAUGGGCCCGCGGCGCAUUAGCUAGUUGGUUAGGUAACGGCUCACCAAGGCGACGAUGCGUAGCCGACCUGAGAGGGUGAUCGGCCACAUUGGGACUGAGACACGGCCCAGACUCCUACGGGAGGCAGCAGUGGGGAAUAUUGCACAAUGGGGGAAACCCUGAUGCAGCAAUGCCGCGUGAGUGAUGACGGCCUUCGGGUUGUAAAGCUCUGUCUUCGGGGACGAUAAUGACGGUACCCGAGGAGGAAGCCACGGCUAACUACGUGCCAGCAGCCGCCGUAA
rnacentral:rRNA from 1 species